UUUGCUGCUUCUCUUUCAUUACACCAAUUUGUCUAUUGUACCCCUCUCAUAGCAAAGCGUCCUUUUAUUAGUACCAUUUUCUCUCAUUCUUCAUACAAGUCCCUCCAUUAUGUAAAUGAGGAGAUUGGGAUCACUAAUUACACCCUACAGACUGACAUUAGAAGGUGAGAAGGGGAACCGUUGAUAAGUUCUCCCAGAGGCAAACAUGGGCUUCUACACCCCAAUUAAUGUAUCCCUUUUAGCCCUGACAAUAAUAAGUCUACUGCACAUGGGUGAAGGGUAAGCUAUGAACUUUGAGAGUCCAAUUUAUACACACAGAUGUGCUCAAAAGUUUCCAUACGCUUGGAGUAACACGUGCCAGUUUUUAAAGACAACAGAAUGAUCAGGCAAACCACAUUUCUUUUAUUUCUUA